GACGAACGCUGGCGGCGUGCUUAACACAUGCAAGUCGAACGGAAAGGCCCUGCUUUUGUGGGGUGCUCGAGUGGCGAACGGGUGAGUAACACGUGAGUAACCUGCCCUUGACUUUGGGAUAACUUCAGGAAACUGGGGCUAAUACCGGAUAGGAGCUCCUGCUGCAUGGUGGGGGCUGGAAAGUUUCGGCGGUUGGGGAUGGACGCGCGGCUUAUCAGCUGGUUGGUGGGGUAGUGGCUUACCAAGGCUUCGACGGGUAGCCGGCCUGAGAGGGUGACCGGGGACAUGGGGACUGAGGUAGGGACCAGAGUGGUACGGGAGGCAGCAGUGGGGAAUAUGGCGGAGUGGGGGGGAGCGUGAUGGAGGAGCGCGGGGUGCGGGAUGACGGCCUUCGGGUUGUAAACCGCUUUGGGCUGUGACGAAGCGUGAGUGACGGUAAUGGGUAAAGAAGCACCGGCUAACUACGUG
rnacentral:rRNA from 1 species